UUAUGCACAUAUCUAGAUAGGUCUUGAUUUUUGGAGUAUCUAGGAUUUUGAAUCAUCACUUUUGGAGCUACUAUGAAUUAGAUAUGAAUUUUCUAAUCCCACUGGUAAUAAGAAAAAGAGAAAUGAUUACCUAGAUAGGCCAAUCUCAUUGAGCAGCACCGCGCAGUGGCGCGAGACAGAAAUGGGCCGGCGCAUUGGCUCAACUGCGGGAGAGGCCGGGGCGACACCGGAGGCGCGUUCCAGGAAAUGUGCC
rnacentral:lncRNA from 1 species